rnacentral:ribozyme from 13 species
GAAAGAGAAACAGAAGAGGUCGAAUGUUCUUCUUCUUUUUUUCCCAAAAAGCUUUUAACAAAAGAGGGGGCUUUUGAUUUUGAUCUUUUCUUUUUCUUUCCGGAUUUAUCUUUUUCGAUGGAAGUGUAUGAGAGAGAAGAAGAAGAAGAGAAACAAAAAGAAGAGG